UAUUUAAGAGCUACUUUCAAACGGCCCCCUACACUACAGAAUAUGAGAGUAGGGAAGUUAGUUAACAAGGCAGCAAUGGCGCUGAUGUCCAAUUCGUGCAAGAUAGCAUCACCCUCAUUGUGUUCCGCAAUGUUACACCCGACCCCAAAUCCUCGCCGUUCAUUCAUGGACGAUCCCCGCCAGCUCGAAGCUAUUUUCCAGAAAAAGCAGUCACUCCGAUCCAAAAUUCGUAAAGAGCUGAAGAAUAUGAGUCCCAUUCAACGAGCCCAUGAAGAUAAUGCGAUACAGAAUAUUGUUUUAGAAGCCCCAUGGUUCAAAUCCAGCCAGAGCCUGUGUGCUUAUGUUAGCUCAGCUGCUUUACGAGAGGUUGGCACUUCAAAAAUUCUUGCAGAAGUUCUAUGCAAUGAAUCCAGUGAACAGGAAAAACAAAAGACAGUGUACGUACCGCGUGUAGAAGACAGAUUUAGCAACAUGAAAAUGCUGAAAAUUUCGAGUCUGAAUGAUCUAGUGCUAAGCUCGAUGGACAUUUUGGAACCACCCCCAGUUGAUUCUGAUGGAAAAGAGCGUGAAGAUGUUAUGCAGGCUUGUGAACCUGUGGACUUGGUUGUUCUACCUGGGCUUGCAUUUGACAGAUCUGGACAAAGGUUGGGACGUAAUGGAGGGGCAGCCCGGUGCACAAAGCAUCCCGCGUUCACGCAAGGUCCGGGGAAGGGACGCACCCCAAGGGAGUGUGAUGCAGGCAGCCUACCCUGAUGCAAGCAUCAGUGGCUGAUUCCAUGGCUCAAACACGUGACCUAUAGGUCACAUGGAGACAAUUUGACCGUUGCUCCAAGGCUCCCCUUCAGGUAUCAAAAUUACCCUAUUGCAGUAAAAUUGGGUUUCCUUGAUUUUCGGUGCUUAAUUGAUGCAUCUCCCGUAACAGCUACCAGAAAGCUGCCUUUUCUUAGUUAGCAAACUGCUCAUGCAGAUUUAUGAAAUUUAUAACUCUAUAAUUAAACUGAAUGCAAUUAUCUUUUCUUAAUCCCUUUGUUUUGGUUCUGGCAUACGGCAAAUUCCUGAAGUUAUUAUGAUAUGUUCUUGAGGAAGUAUGAAGAUCUAAUCAAGGAGAAACACUGGAAGCAACCCUUACUAGUUGCCCUUGCAUAUUCCAUUCAGAUAGUGGAUGAGGGUGCUAUCGGUGUCACUCCUAAUGAUGUUCCAGUAGACGCACUCGUUUCACCAGCUGGCUUCUCUCCCAUAAGUCCAGUGGCCUUGAAGUUAUAUGGUUAAUUGUCUCUAGCACGAAUAUACAUCAGGAAGUUUUUCCCCGGAACACAUUCUUCACAUGUGACUGGUCCGCUGAUACCAAUAUGUCAGGUAUUUCAGUGAGUAGUAGGAUACUGCUUGUCCGAUUACUACGCCAAGUUUUACAUAUCUAUCGGGAUGCUUGAUCAACUUGUUUACUGGACGAAGUAAUGCUCCAAGGUUUCUAGUUUUAUGGAGUUUACAUCGUAGAGUUGUAAACUUGCUGAGGUCUGAUGGUUGUUAUAGUCCAGUAGUGGUCAUGAAAGAACCUAUGAGACAACACAACAAGAUUUCUCCUCCCAGUGGCAUGAUCUUGUUCACUUUUGGGGUUUGUUCAGUUGGGAGUAAAAUGUGUAAACUGCUUUACAUAAUUACUUUGUUUUUCUUCUUAAAA